rnacentral:rRNA from 1 species
UACGUAGGGGGCAAGCGUUGUCCGGAUUUAUUGGGCGUAAAGAGCGUGUAGGCGGCCAGGUAGGUCCGUUGUGAAAACUAGAGGCUCAACCUCUAGACGUCGAUGGAAACCAUCUGGCUAGAGUCCGGAAGAGGAGAGUGGAAUUCCUGGUGUAGCGGUGAAAUGCGCAGAUAUCGUAAGGAAGACCAGUGGCGAAGGCGGGUCUCUGGACAGUUCCUGACGCUGAGGCACGAAGGUCAGGGGAGCAAACGGG